AAGCCUAGCCCGACCCGACCCAAACAAAACUACCACACACAACUAAACUAAAACAUUUACCCACCUAUUAAAAGUAUAGGAGAUAGAAAUUGAACUCAGGCGCUAUAGAGACAGUACCGUAAGGGAAAGAUGAAAGAUUAAAUUACAGUACAAAACAGCAAAGAUUAACCCUUAUACCUUUUGCAUAAUGAAUUAACUAGAACAAUCUGACGAAGCGAACUGCAGCCAGAAGUCCCGAAACCGGACGAGCUACCUACAAGCAGUCUAAAGGACGAACUCAUCUAUGUGGCAAAAUAGUGAGAAGACUUGAAGGUAGGGGUGAAAAGCCAACCGAGCCCGGUGAUAGCUGGUUGUCCAGGAUAGAAUUUUAGUUCUACCUAAAAUUUACUAAAAAGAAACAUUAAUCCCUAUGUAAACUUUAGAGGUACUCAAAAGAGGUACAGCUCUUUUGACACAGGAUACAACCUUAGCUAGAGAGUAAGCAUUUCACAAUCCAUAGUAGGCCUAGAAGCAGCCACCAAUUAAGAAAGCGUUAAAGCUCAACACCAUUAAACUCGUUAAUACCCUUAAAAUUAGCCAUCUCCUAGACCUAAUACUGGACUAUUCUAUUUUUUAAUAGAAGAAAUAAUGUUAAUAUAAGUAACAAGAAUUAUUUCUCCCUGCAUAAGCUUAUAUCAGAACGGAUGCCCACUGAUAGUUAACAACUAGAUAAACUAAACCCACUAACCAGAACCUUAUCAAACCCAUUGUUAACCCAACACAGGCAUGCUUAAAGGGAAAGAUUAAAAGAAGUAAAAGGAACUCGGCAAA
rnacentral:rRNA from 1 species